UACGUAGGGGGCAAGCGUUGUCCGGAAUCAUUGGGCGUAAAGAGCGUGUAGGCGGCCUCGUAAGUCUGCUGUGAAAGUCCAGGGCUCAACCCUGGGAUGUCAGUGGAUACUGUGAGGCUCGAGUCCGGAAGAGGAGUGUGGAAUUCCUGGUGUAGCGGUGAAAUGCGCAGAUAUCAGGAGGAACACCGAUGGCGAAGGCAGCACUCUGGGACGUGACUGACGCUGAGGCGCGAAAGCGUGGGGAGCGAACAGG
rnacentral:rRNA from 1 species